AGGGUGUACAGAUAGUCUGUACUAGAUGUGGAGACCUGAGGUAGGGUGAACAGGAACUCUGUCCUAGACGUGCCGCCAAGAGGUAGGGUAUACAGAUACUCUGUACUACAUGUGGAGAACUGAGGUAGGGUGUACAGGAACUCUGUCCUAGACGUGCCGCCAAGAGGUAGGGUAUACAGAUAUUCUGUACUAGAUGUGAAGACCUGAGGUAGGGUGAACAGGAACUCUGUCCUAGACGUGCCGCCAAGAGGUAGGGUAUACAGAUAUUCUGUACUAGAUGUGAAGACCUGAGGUAGGGUGAACAGGAACUCUGUCCUAGACGUGCCGCCAAGAGAGGUAGGGUAUACAGAUAUUCUGUACUAGAUGUAGAGACCUGAGGUAGGGUGAACAAGAACUCUGCCCUAGACGUGCCGCCAAGAGGUAGGGUAUACAGAUAUUCUGUAUUAGAUGUGGAGACCUGAGGUAGGGUGAACAAGAGCUCUGUCCUAGACGUGCCGCCAAGAGGUAGGGUGUACAGAUAUUCUGUACUAGAUGUAGAGACCUGAGGUAGGGUGAACAGGAACUCUGUCCUAGACGUGCCGCCAAGAGAGCUAGGGUAUACAGAUAUUCUGUACUAGAUGUGGAGACCUGAGGUAGGGUGAACAGGAACUCUGUCCUAGACGUGCCGCCAAGAGGUAGGGUAUACAGAUAUUCUGUACCAGUACUGGAGACCUGAGGUAGGGUGUACAGGAACUCUGUCCUAGACGUGCCGCCAAGAGGUAGGAUAUACAGAUAUUCUGUACUAGAUGUGGAGACCUGAGGUAGGGUGUACAGGAACUCUGUCCUAGACGUGCCGCCAAGAGGUAGGGUAUACAGAUAUUCUGUACUAGAUGUGAAGACCUGAGGUAGGGUGAACAGGAACUCUGUCCUAGACGUGCCGCCAAGAGGUAGGAUAUACAGAUAUUCUGUACUAGAUGUGGAGACCUGAGGUAGGGUGAACAGGAACUCUGUCCUAGACGUGCCGCCAAGAGGUAGGAUAUACAGAUAUUCUGUACUAGAUGUGGAGACCUGAGGUAGGGUGAACAGGAACUCUGUCCUAGACGUGCCGCCAAGAGGUAGGGUAUACAGAUAUUCUGUACUAGAUGUGAAGACUGGAGGUAGGGUAUACAGAGUACGGGACCAA